ACGGGGGGGGCAAGCGUUGUUCGGAAUUACUGGGCGUAAAGGGCUCGUAGGCGGCCUUCUAAGUCAGACGUGAAAUCCCCCGGCUUAACCUGGGAACUGCGUCUGAUACUGGGAGGCUUGAGUAUGGGAGAGGGAUGUAGAAUUCCAGGUGUAGCGGUGAAAUGCGUAGAUAUCUGGAGGAAUACCGGUGGCGAAGGCAGGUCUCUGGGCCACUACUGACGCUGAUAAGCGAAAGCAUGGGGAGCGAACAGG
rnacentral:rRNA from 1 species